CUACGUACAUAUUUACUUCUACUACCCGGGAUUAGACUGUCUGUCGACUUCUGGCAGGUACCUAAGCUUUUAAAUCGGCGGCGGAGAAAACGCCCAAUGAUUUCCCCUGUGAAUCUCCUACCUCAUACGAACUGGUGCCAAUUUUGCGCAGGAUGACGCAAGGCGAGUAUUGCGGUCCGAGCUUGGCAUUAAACUGAUUGCCUGCCGACGAUUGGCGGAAGCUCCGCUUGAAGACUCGUUGACCCAUGUCAAACGUCGGAAUGGUAGUCACGUUUGCAGCUAACAUUGCUGUUCUACAAUCGAUCCUGGUGUUUCGGAACAAGACGUCAAAUUUCCUGUCAUCAUCCCACUGUCUGGACAUACUACGAAAGAUUCGAACCAUAUCUAGAUAGUAGUCCUGAAAUUUCUCCCGCGGACCUUGUCUUCGCGCAUUGGCUAAGCGUUCGUAUUGGUAAUCGAUAUCAACAGGUAGGAACUCACUCUUCAAUUCUUUAACUAGACUAGUCCAUGUUCACAAUUCGUUAUUACCGUUGACCUCCAUAAACCACGACCUAGCUUUACGCGUAAAAAGAUGAUGCGCAGAAACAAACAGUUCCGCAUCCGAGAAACCUUCCGACCGCGCGUUAAAUUCCACUUCUUUUAGGAAUUCGUUAAGUAUUACGAGUAUUACCUGCAUUUACAACAUUUAUUCCACGAAAUACACUACACUAAACACGGAUUUCUCGGUAACACUCUCGACAUAACC